rnacentral:lncRNA from 1 species
UAAAAUCUAAAGUUACCAUCGUUUAAAAGGAAUAUUACUUAAAUACUGCCCUAAUUACAUAAAGUUAUUACUGCCAUGGCCUCCAUGGUCAACUAUAACUUUUUAUGUCACAAUGCAAGCAAUUAAUUUUGGACUGAUCAUUAGUGAUAUCGGAUUCCAACCAUCCUGCUUUAUAUGUUCUUGUGCGAGCUUCUCCUGACAAAAUCUAAAAGACCAAUCGUUCCCUUCACCAUUUUAAUUUCGAAGCAGUCUCAUGCUCUGGUUUCUUCUUUUCACAUUUGGAUUUUGGCAGUUGGGCACCACAAUCGCAGCACAUGCUCCACAUCCAAGCCAGAAGAUAAUAAAACAACUAGCUUGUUUGACAUAUAUGUUUAAUACUAACAAUUUAAAGUUCAGGGGCUUAUGAAUGGAUUUGGACCUCAACUUCGAAGAGAAGAAUUUUGAUCUUAUUGAAGAUAAAAGGAUGAGACCCUGCUAUGGAGUUUCGAACCAGAGAAUUGCAACCAUCCACUCUAGCCCCCGCUUCAAACUCACCAUGUGAAGACACUCCAUACCUGAAAAAAUCAAUAUAUAUUUACAUACAUAUAAAUAUAAAAACAUACAAGAAAUAUCAUAUUAAUUAAGAAGAAAAAUUUUUAUCUACUCUAAUUAAAUUUCAACUGAAUCAUUCUAAUAAUUAAUAAAUGAUUUUUGCAUUUCAAUUUUACUUAUAUCAAACAAGUAAAAAGGAUGUAAGUAGAUAAAAUGUUCUCCAAUUUGAAACCCUUUGGAUCCAUGCAUCGCUUUCCUCCGCUCUUUGCCUAACCUUCUAUCAAUUGCAAUGUUUUAAAUUAAAUUAAAAAAAAGGAAAAAAAAAAAGAUUGGAAUGUAAAGCACUGUAAUUAAACGCAGAUUGAGUAAAUUUCAAUAGUAAUUUGGCACUUGACAUUAAUUAAAUUGAAACUGGAGUAUAUGAAUAAUGAGUUCACAGACUCCUUUACUAAAAGUCUAAAAACAAAUAAUAACAUAAACCAAGAUCUCAUCAAUCACAAACAAUCAACAUUGGCCAGCAGUUAAAAUUAUAGACCAAUUAGAAUUAACAUAAUAAAGCUAAAACUAUCUCUGUCAGAUAUAAAAUAGAGAGGGAUGCAUAAGGGAAAUACACUACUGAACAAAAGCCCAGUUGUGCUCUCUACGAACCUCUUCCUCUUCCUACGAAGUUUACUGAAUUAUAA